AGUUAAUUUCUACAAUGAAAAAUUGUAGUUUUUUCCUCGUUUCUUUUAUAUGUUUUGUAUUUUUGUCGACAGCGGCCGUGGUAUGUACGACGACUUUUGACGUUAAAGAAUUAAACGCAUGUCCACCGCAGGACUCGAAAUUCCUAACGUUGGUUGAACGUUCCUUAGAACAGUGUGUUGAAGAAUGCGCGCGAAGAAAAAGUUGCGCAGUUGUAGGGUAUAAGCGUGUACUUCGGUUAUGCGAGCUUCAUAUGAAGAGUUCGACGCCGUCUGUUUCUGAUAACCAUUGUAUCAUGAUAAUGCGAGAUGACAUACACGGACUAAAGCAGGAUAGCUGUGGAGAGUGGCAAGUAUUCGAAACAAUUGCCGGAGUUGAACAUUGUACAGUGAAAGAAUGUAAACCACAACCAUACCUCAGAAAUGGGCAGUUCUUGGGAAAUAAAAAUGAAGUUGGUUCAAAGAAAGCCGUCAAGUGUAAUCAUGGAUAUAUCGAAGAGAACAACACUAAAUCUGUAGAGUGCUUGAAAGAAGGAAUCUGGAGCCGCAAUGUAUCAUGCGUUCUUAAAGAUUGUGGUGAAGUACCAAAAGUAGAAAACGGAAUUGUAUCACUAGACACAACUGGUAAUACAACAUUCAGAUCUACGGCUACCGUGAAAUGUGAUACUGGAUACGAAACUAACACGAGUAGCAUUUCAUGCCUGGGAACAGGACGUUGGCCUGCUCCAGUUUGUUCACCAAAAGACUGUGGUGCUGUAUCGCCUAUAAGUAAUGGAACGCUUACACUGGAUAUCACUGAUCAGACAACAUAUCAGUCAACAGCGUCAGUCAAUUGCUCCGUGGGAUAUGAGACAGUAAAUAAAACAGUAACAUGCCUAGCUACUGGAACCUGGAGUGCAUCUGAAUGCGUCUUUAAAUGCCCCAACGAAAUCGGGAUAAUUGAACUUAAAGAAGAUUUCCGACUAAAGAUUUUUAACAAUAGCAAAAGUCAUGAGAAUGCAUUCAAACACAUGUGCAAAUGAAUCGAAUGGACAUCUCGUGGUGCUUGAUGAAGAGUGGAAAAUGGAUGCAGUCUCAAACAUCUUGACUUCAUGCUCGGGUUAUAAAGGUAAAACGGACUUGUGGACAGAUGGAAACUGUUUUUCCAAAAA
rnacentral:misc_RNA from 1 species